GAGUUUGAUCCUGGCUCAGGAUGAACGCUGGCGGCGUGCUUAACACAUGCAAGUCGAACGUGAUUGGAAGCUUGCUUCCAUGAAAGUGGCGCACGGGUGAGUAACGCGUGGAUAACCUGCCCUGGUAUCCGGAAUAACAUCUCGAAAGGGGUGCUAAUACCGGAUAAGCCUACGGAGCCCUCGGUCUCUGCAGGAAAAGGUGGCCUCUAUUUAUAAGCUACCGUAUCAGGAUGGGUCCGCGUACCAUUAGCUAGUUGGUGGGGUAAUGGCCUACCAAGGCGACGAUGGUUAGCUGGUCUGAGAGGAUGAUCAGCCACACUGGAACUGAGACACGGUCCAGACUCCUACGGGAGGCUGCAGUCGAGAAUAUUCCCCAAUGGCCGAAAGGCUGAGGGAGCGACGCCGCGUGUAUGAAGACGCCCUUCGGGGUGUAAAAUACUUUUAACCGGGACGAAACAAUGACGGUACCGGUUGAAUAAGGGGMUGMUAAACUSGURCCAGCAGCCGCGGUAAUWCAAGCRCGCAUUGGAAACACCUCGACCAYGAWUYCGGAUYCACWGSCCGUCGCGUACAGCCAAUGAAACAGCUWRAAWCCAUSC
rnacentral:rRNA from 1 species